GGGAUUUGAAUAGGAAAGGGUAUCUUAUUUAGGAUGGUUCCUUUAUUCUCAGUGUCAGGCAUUGCAGACUAGUAGUGUGUUACUCCUUGAGAGUCAUGUGGGUUUAUAUAAAAUUUACAUAUUUCGCCAUGAUCUUUGCAAAUAUAGUAAUACUACAAUGUCUCUUGAAUCUGUUUUUUCCUGCUUUACAUUCUCUGAGAUGUCACCUUUAAG
rnacentral:misc_RNA from 1 species